rnacentral:siRNA from 1 species
UACUGCUGCCAGAGAUACUUUUGC